rnacentral:rRNA from 1 species
UACGGGAGGCAGCAGUGGGGAAUUUUCCGCAAUGGGCGAAAGCCUGACGGAGCAAUACCGCGUGAGGGAGGAAGGCUCUUGGGUUGUAAACCUCUUUUCUCAGGGAAUAAGAACUGAAGGUACCUGAGGAAUCAGCAUCGGCUAACUCCGUGCCAGCAGCCGCGGUAAUACGGAGGAUGCAAGCGUUAUCCGGAAUGAUUGGGCGUAAAGCGUCCGCAGGUGGUUUAUCAAGUCUGCUGUCAAAGAGUUUGGCUCAACCAAAUAAAGGCAGUGGAAACUGACAGACUGGAGUGCGGUAAGGGCAGAGGGAAUUCCUGGUGUAGCGGUGAAAUGCGUAGAGAUCAGGAAGAACACCGGUGGCGAAAGCGCUCUGCUGGGCCGUAACUGACACUGAGGGACGAAAGCUAGGGGAGCGAAUGGGAUUAGAUACCCCAGUAGUCCUAGCCGUAAACGAUGGAUACUAGGCGUUGCCCGUAUCGACCCGGGCAGUGUCGUAGCCAACGCGUUAAGUAUCCCGCCUGGG